rnacentral:rRNA from 1 species
AUUGAACGCUGGCGACAGGCCUAACACAUGCAAGUCGAGCGGAUGAGAGGAGCUUGCUCCUGGAUUCAGCGGCGGACGGGUGAGUAAUGCCUAGGAAUCUGCCUGGUAGUGGGGGACAACGUUUCGAAAGGAACGCUAAUACCGCAUACGUCCUACGGGAGAAAGCAGGGGACCUUCGGGCCUUGCGCUAUCAGAUGAGC